CCCUUAGACGUUCUGGGCCGCACGCGUGCUACACUGACGAAGGCAACGAGCUUUCCUUUACCGAAAGGUACGGGUAAUCUUUUGAAACUUCGUCGUGCUGGGGAUAGAUCCUUGCAAUUUUUGAUCUUAAACGAGGAAUUCCUAGUAAGCACUAGUCAUCAGCUAAUGUUGAUUAUGUCCCUGCCCUUUGUACACACCGCCCGUCGCUACUACUGAUUGGGUGUUCAAGUGAGAUGCUUAGACCCUUGUUGCACGGUUCAUUAUUGUGCUCCGAAAGGAAAAAGUUUCAAGCUUGAGUGUCUAGAGGAAGUAAAAGUCGUAACA
rnacentral:rRNA from 1 species